rnacentral:tRNA from 1 species
GCCGGAAUAGCUCAGCUGGGAGAGCAACAGACUGAAGCGCCGGUACAACCGACUGCCUUCUGGAGGUCCCGUGUUCAAUCCACGGUUCUGGCA